rfam:Lactobacillus reuteri DSM 20016, complete genome.
UGCGAUGAGUCGAGAGGUCUGGUAGCGACCCUAAGAGCUACCAUUGACAUUUUGGCAAGUGAGACACAUUAACUCACCGGAUUGUGAGGUGUCCAGUUAAUCGGCCAUGUGGACAGU